AUCGCCAGUGACCAGCACAAUGACGACACAUAGUCAGCCUCUAGAAGGGCUCGUUGACCAAAGUGUGUUGCCGAUGCCUCACAGAGCAGUGUCCAGGGCUGUGCGAACCCCUCCCAGGGGCAAGGCCUCAGGCAGAGUGGAGAGGGCGGGGCCCCUUCAGAGCCGCUCCCGGCUCCUCCCUUCUCAUCAGUUCAUUGCAGAGGAGACAGAUCCUCAUCACCAGAGGGGACACGCGGAAGCCAUACAGGACACCACCCCUGAAGUGUUACAAACACCCUGCCUGGCCUUCCUAAGUCCUGCAGCCCUGGCCUGGGGACUCCCAGAAACACAAAGACCAGGGAGCGGCUGUGCUCACCAGCCCAGGGCUCACGCCGACGUGCUCUGGAGAACAAACUGCGCUGGUUUGGUGACCGAGGUGGGGAAGGAACCUGGCAGGGUGGGUGGCAGCGGGGAGGAACAGGACUGAAGCCACUUGUCCCUGUUUGCUCAUGGAUGAGCCAGAAACCCUCUGAACUUACUGGAAGGCUCCUGGGACCUUGUUUUCCUGAAACGGUACAAAAACAGGUUGGACCUCUCCAAUGUUUACUUGAGGACGUAAUUACUUAAGUACGAGCUGGGUUGCCUGGCAGGCUGGCAGAGGUAAAGGUGGGGCAGAGGCAUCUGCUGCUCACCUGGGCCUGAGAAGUCCUAGGAGGUGCGCGGCCCAACCCAGGACAGAGCAACCCGGAAGAGACUGAGUUGCGGCUGGAAGAGUCCUGGCGGCGGAGUAGGACAGAGUUGGUAGGAAUGCUGUGUGGCUCUGAGCAACUUACUUAACCUCUCUGAACUGCUGUCUUCAUCUGCUAAGUGGAAAUAGCAAUACUUCCCUUGCUAGGUGGUUGGAGGAUUGGCAGUGGUUGCCUGGCAGCCAGCAUUCAGGCAGAGGCUGUUGUUAGUAACAAAGUCCUCAUCUGGUGUUCUGGAGGCCCAGCCACCACCCUCAGUCUCCUUCACAAAUCGAUUCUAUCCCAGCAUGUACUCUCACUGCCGUGCGGCGGUUCCCCCCAGCCUCGCUGCUCCCAGACCUGAACAGCACUGCUUCAAGGCAUCAGGCGAUGUGGGUUGGCUGACACGAAAUGGCCACUGAGGCUGUGGAAACACUCGUAGGUGCUGGGAAAGGGUUCUCCCAGUUCAGCUCUGCCUUGUCAUGACUCAGCUUCCCUCUGCUCUUGUCUUCCUAAGCUCCCAAGGAGCCGCGUUUCUGCCCUGUGCCCUGAGGGCGUCUGGCUGCCUCUUUCAUCGGUCUCUCAUGACCGUCAAGGCUUUGCCGCUUGGCCCCAGUGCUGUGGCUUGGAAAGAAAUACAGACCUUGGUGCACUGAAAUUCCUGGUGAGGCUCAGGGCCACGCAGACGGCCCUGAGCAUGUUCAAAUGUGUUUUUAGGUUAACAUCAAAAUGACAGCACCCCAUUUUUAAAUUUUCAAGAAGAUGCUGCUCCCAGUCUGAGAAAGUCUGGACGGGGGUCACCAGGACCUGGCGCAGUCCCCCCAGCCUCUUCCUCACGUGUGACGCCUCUUGUUGCUGACCCUCCGGGCUCACAGGAGGAGCGGUGGGUGUGGACCCAGAGCCCUCAGCGGUGGCUGGAGGUGGACCGCACACAGCGGCUGGAAGCUUUCCUCCUCCCUGUCUCCAAGCCCUUCACAAUGACAUUGCAGCUCCCUCCUCAAGGGGCGGGGCGCCUGUUCCCUGCCCUUGAUCCAGGUGCGCCUGAGGCUUGCUCUGACCAGAGAACGCAGUGGACGUGAGGGUGCCGGGUCUGAGCCAGGCCCCUGAGGCUGGUGGGCUUUCCCUCUCUCAUUCGCCCCUCAAUUCCUCCCUUUAAACCCAGAGUCCUUGGUUUUGGGAAGGUGGCUCAGGUCCAGAGCUCCUCCCACGAGGGGAAAGCACCCUGGCACCGUGUCGAGUGGAGAGAAGGUACAGAGCGGGGAGAGACACAGGAAGUCUGCAGGCCUCCUGUCCCCAGGGGGGAAAGGAUGCAGAGGCUGACCGUGCCUGCCUCCUCGUUGAAGAAACUCCAGCAAGCUGGGAGACUGAAAUUACCUGCUGGCCUCAGCGAAGCCCCAGGACAAGGACAGCGUGCCUUGUCCCCUGCAUGAUGGCCGGGCAGGGAAGGCUCCUCUGGUAGCAGCUGCUGUCAAACUGUGUCAUUCUGCAGAAGGGACACUCCAAGCUCAUAGAUGCUAUGCCACGUCCUCAAGCCAAGAGGAAGCAAAGGGCGGGCUGGGGCCAGCUCCCGACCAGACGUUCUCAGCCUCUAUCAGGACAUGUGCGGCCCUGCCUCCCACUGCUCCCUACAAAAUCCAGAUCCGCUCACAUCUGAGAUUCUCUCCUAAGGGUGGAGCUCCGUGAGAGCUGCAGUCAAGUCUGCUUCACUUCUCCAUGUUCCUGGUGUCCAGCACUCCGUCUGGCCAGAGGAGGAGCCGGGGGGGGCUCUGAGGGAGCUUUCCCGACUCCCUCCCACCGAGUGCAGGCUCAAAGUCUUCUGUCGCAGCAUGUGUACCUCUCUCAGGCAGUACUUUAAGCAUGUGUAUAAGUGAGUAUUCAUAUACAUAUGUGAAUAUUCCUAUGUAUGUGUGUGUGUGUGCGCACGCCCAUCUUUGUCUACUGGAUUGUGAGUUCCUUCAUGACAUGGGCUGUGAGAUAGAUGCUAGAGAGAUAGAUAGAUAGAUAGAUAGAUAGAUAGACAGAUAGACAGACAGUGGGUAGGUAGAUGGAUAGGUGAGUGGGAGGAUAGACGGAUGUAUAGGUAGACAGACCCAACCCUCCAUCCCCUCUGACUGGGAGGGUGAUUUAUUCGUAACGGUCUCAGCUACUGUGGGAGGCAGGCAGGCAGGCAGAAUCCAGGACAAUCCUUGUCCCGAGGAGAACAGAGGAGCUGGGGGAAGACACUACGCAGCGAAGGCUCAGGGCUUGAAACUAGAGGGCCCAAUGUGUUCUUUGCCAUUCAGUUUCUCUGAGCUUACGUUGUCCUCUCUGUAAAAAGCAAAUGAUAACAGCAGGGUCUGCCUCUCGGGGAUAAAUGGAGCAUCAGCAUAAAAGAAUAUGCUUCAGAGGAACACAGAGUGGACAGGCCCCGGGCCUUGAAUCAGGCAGAGACGCUCAGGUACCACUGGAUGCGGAGGAAACUGCUUGACCCCCCCUAAGCCUCAGCUGCAAACUUGGGAGAGGAAGUUGCCCCUUGUCGGGGGUCUGUGACUGUGAAACAAGGCUCCGUAUGUGGAAGCAGGCGCUCAGCAGCGAUGGCCACCAAUGCUGCUGCUGUCAGUAACCUACUUCAGAAGGCCUGGCCCCGACCACUCGCAGUUUGCAAGGUCAGAGAGAUGCUGUGGAAACACCAGAGCGUGCAGGGCGCAGAGAAGGCGUAUGGUGACAAAGGCUCCCACAGGAGAAUGCGGGGCUCAGGGAGGACCGGAGUCAAGGAGAGCCCCUUAGAGGAGGUGGAGAGGCCGUGGGAGGAGAACCCUCCUCCCCAGACUCCCGAUAAAGGAGAGGUGUGGGAGGAGAGGUGUUGGCAAGGCGAGAAGAAGAGAGAUGUUUUAAAAACAAAAAAAAUGACAGUUCUUGGGGAAUUGCCAAUAUUUACUAACCUGUGGGCAUCUUCCCCCAGGAAGGGGCUGGGGGCCGGGCUGCUGGAGACAGCUGCUCACACAAACAGCGGAGGGACCUGGCUUCAGCUGUGCGUGUAGACCUGGACUGGGAACCGGAUCCACAUGAUGGUGGGAAAAAACAGUCUGGGGGCUCCGCUGCCCUGGGCAGCUCAAAGCUGGCACAGAGAGCCGGGAGGCCCGGGGUCCCGGGUUCUCCCGUCUAGUUGGGCCUCUGGUUCCUGCCGGCCUGAGAUAAUUGGCUUCUCUCUGCCCACCUGUCCAGGUUGGGAGCGCCCAGCUCCACCUCCUGUCCUUGUGUUGGGAGCGACUGUCCUGUCUGCUCGGCCCUCUCAGAGAAACUGGCCACCCUCAGUCCCUCUACCAAAGCCUCCAGGGCUUGAGGAGAGGCUGGUCCUCCUCACCCACAUUCCCUGGCCCGUGGGCCAGAGUUGAAGGGACCAGGGAGGGCCUGACCCAGGCAGCUGGUCCAAAGGUGGCCGGUACCCAACAGUGGCCAAUUAGAUGCUCUUUUCCAUGGAUCUGAACUUGGAAAGAAUUUUCAAGGUCUCAGAGGACAUGAAAGGAGUGGCUGCCUGUGCAGCAAAGGGCUGAGUGCGGGGGCAGGGGGGCUUGCAGAGGCUUUCUAUGGUAGAAAAGAGAGUGGAAGACGAAGAGGUGCUGAAGGAGGCAGGAAGGAAGGCGAGGAGGAGAAAGAGAGAGACCAACCACCCUAAAAUCCCCCCAGAGGGUCCCAGUAUCAGUCCCCACAAAUGCUUCCACUAAAUCCUAUGCUUCUUUUAUUUAUGGACUUUAUUUUUUUUCAUUUUUUUGGUGAGGAAGAUUGUCCCUGAGUUAACAUCUGUUGCCAAUCUUCCUCUUUUUUUUUUCCUCCCCAAAGCCCCAGUGCAUAAUUGUAUAUCCUAGUUGCAAGUCAUUCUAGCUUUUCUGUUUGGGAUGCCACCACAGCAUGGCUUGAUGAGUGGCAUGUAGGUCCAUGCCCAGGAUCCGAACUGGCAAACCCUGGGCUGUCAAAGCAAAGCAUGUAACCUUAACCACUUGGCCAUGGGGCCGGCCCCUGGACUUUAUUUUUUUAGCCUUUUGUAUUUUGAAAUAUAUAGAGAAAUACACAUAAAAAAAUAACCAUAGAGCUUAACAAACUAUCAGUGAGCUAAAGUAUAGGCCAGUUCGAGAAUCGGGAUUACAGCUCUUCUAAAGCUCUUUCUCUCUCCACCUCCUUCCCCCCAAAGUUGGCCAGAAUCAGGACUCAUGGCUUUUCUUCAUAAUCUUAUACAGCCAGCUAAGCAUGUGACCUUAAAGACUAUGGUUUAAUUUUGCCAGCUUUUAAACUUGACGUAAAUGGAACAUACCUACGUGUUCUUUUGAGUUCAGCUUCUCCCAUUUAAUGUAACAGUUUUUGAGAUUGAAUCACAUGUUGCCUGUAGUUUAGAUCACCGGUUCUCAGUGCUGUAGAUUACUGCAUGGUACACCACACUGCUAUGGUCGCAUCCAUUCUGCUAUGGGCAGACACAAAUAACUCUCCCCGGCCUGCCACCUGUGUCCUUUAGGUGUCCUGAGAAGACCUCUGAUUUUUACCACCAAUAAGCAACUUGAACAUGGGGAAACAGCACUCGACUUGAAAAUGGGGAAAUCCAGAGAAAUCUGAGUCCUUAUUAGGGACUGGAUCCUGGACCUCUCAGAGAACAGAGGUUCAGAUUCAUUUCACUUUCUGGGCCAAGAAAUCAACACAGAUUUUUUUGAGCAUACAGCGUCUGAAAGGAAAGGAGGGCAGGCCCCGAUGCGCAGGAGGCCACGGAAUACGGUGCCUCCGGCUCUGGGAGCGGAGAGGACUGCCAGGAGGAAGCAGUCUUUGGGAUGGUCUGAGAAGGAGAAUUCGUUCAGAGUAAACUGGAAAUUAUUUGAUUCAGUCUUUUGUACAGAAACCCUCCCAACGUCUGAGUCUCCUGGCUUCCUUGUCUCCCUAAGCCAGGUGGGCAUGGGGACCUCCUCCAUCCCCGUCCAAAGUAGCACCUGGCUCACACCUGUGUGGACGUUGAAACACACUGUCUGAACCUGGAGAGCAAUGGGGACCAGUAGGAGGGGAUUGCACAGGACAGGAGCUUGUCACAGAGCAGCCUCAGGAUGGAAGGAGAUGUACGAAACAAACAAGUGACCCAACUUCCCAUAACAGCAGGAGUUCUUGUGCAUGGGCACCUGGGCAUCGGGCUUCCAGUGACGGGAACCAGAGCGUGGUCCAGGCAGAAUAACGACCCACCUAAACAGUCCACGUCCUGAUCCCCGGAACCUAUCUGUUGGAUCACUCACUCUGGGGGAAGCCGUGUCAUGAGCAGCCCCAUGGAGAGGUCUUUGCGGCAAGGAACUGCUGGCUGGUGCCGACAACCACAUGAGUCAGCUCGGAAGUCAAUUCUCCAGCUCCCGCUGAGCCUUGAGAUGACCAUGACUCUGUCCCACAGCUGGACACAACCUGAGAGAUGCCGAGCCAGAACGCCCAGCUAAGCUGCUCCUGAAUUCCUAACCCUCAGAAACUGUUGAACACCUCCAGCCAAAAUUUGGUUCAAACGUCAAGAUUGAUGACAUCACACACCAAGAGAAGAUGAAAAGAUUUAUUAUUUACAUAUGAAGAUUUCUGGGGAGAGCCUGGAAACUUCCCAAGGAGGUCUAAAAAUGGGUUAAGAGAGCAGAGAAAGGAGACUGGCUUUGGGGUCAUUAGAGGGCAGUGUUAAAAUUAAUAAAGGAAAUCUCAAAUAAAAUUGGAGUCAGGAAGGCCUGUAGAGGGAGCUCUCAUGUCCUACCACUCAAUUACCCCAAACAGGAAGAUGUCAAUUACAGACCCCAACAGGAAGAAGCAUCAGUUACCAACCUCAAGAGGAAGAGAUGUGCCUUACAAUCCCAAACAGGAAGUGCAACUACUUUACUACUCCAGUAAGGGGAAGACUUCCUUCUUGCCCAGCAAUAAGCACAACCAAUGGAAAACACUGCAGCCCAGUCAAUGAGAAUCUGUUGUCACUUGAACUAUCUCUCUAUUGCCAGAUGAAAUGCUACCUGAUUCAUGAAUUAUUUAAUAAAGUCAAUUCAAUCUUCGAAUUUGCUCAGUUGAAUUUUGUUUUUUAACAGUGGGGCUGGGGGUAAGAGUUCCCAUGUGUAGACCAGGGCUUGCAAGAUUUGACCUUCCUGCUAAUGCUAAUGAAGGGAGUACCUGGGCUUAUUUAUGAGCUGGACAGAUCUAAGACAGAAG
rnacentral:lncRNA from 1 species